AAGAAAAGCGAGUAAACAUAACUGAUUUUUACAAAUUUGUUGAAUUUACUUAAUUACACUGUGUUAUGUGAACUUUCAGGUGGAUGCAAUAGUUAAACUAAACAACUUUAGUAAACAGUACUUAAGAGCAUCUAGUUUGUUGGAUUAAAUCCCACUAUGUGCCCUAAUAACUCUAGACCAGUAGGUGGCGGAAGUGCACUAGUAGGUGGCGGAAGGUUGGUUUAAACAAAACAUCACCAGAAGAAGACAACGAACUGAACUUCAGAGUCAGAUCGUGUUUGAAAUGUGGCAGCAAGAUUAGACAUCUAACAUCAAUGGGCGAUGAACAGCAGUUCUCCACGGCCUUCCACUCUUCCUUGAAAAGGACCUUACUGAUUUUUACAAGACAUGUUUUGACUAUGAUGAAGAAGAGAUGUCAGUCGGCCUAUUGACCGUGAUCCCUGAGCGGAGGACUCUAGAGCCAUGCCCAACUCACUGCAUUUAAUGCCAUGUCUACUGCAAUAAUUUUGGAAGGUACAAUUGUAUUGGAUGAUCUGGAAAAUCCUCCCCAAGAUAUGCCUGCUCUUUGGACUUGGAUUUAUGCUAUGAAAUUAUAGUAUCCUCCAGUACUGAAGGACACCUUUGAUUUCAUUCAAUGGCUGAACCUAGAAUGCAAUCUCUGAAAAAUCUUCUGAUGUAGAAAGAUGUCAUUG